UCGGGGUGGAUUAGUGGCGAACGGGUGAGUAACACGUGGGCAAUCUGCCCUGCACUCUGGGACAAGCCCUGGAAACGGGGUCUAAUACCGGAUAACACUCUCGCAGGCAUCUGUGAGGGUUAAAAGCUCCGGCGGUGCAGGAUGAGCCCGCGGCCUAUCAGCUUGUUGGUGGGGUGAUGGCCUACCAAGGCGACGACGGGUAGCCGGCCUGAGAGGGCGACCGGCCACACUGGGACUGAGACACGGCCCAGACUCCUACGGGAGGCAGCAGUGGGGAAUAUUGCACAAUGGGCGAAAGCCUGAUGCAGCGACGCCGCGUGAGGGAUGACGGCCUUCGGGUUGUAAACCUCUUUCAGCAGGGAAGAAGCGAAAGUGACGGUACCUGCAGAAGAAGCGCCGGCUAACUACGUGCCAGCAGCCGCGGUAAUACGUAGGGCGCAAGCGUUGUCCGGAAUUAUUGGGCGUAAAGAGCUCGUAGGCGGCUUGUCACGUCGGUUGUGAAAGCCCGGGGCUUAACCCCGGGUCUGCAGUCGAUACGGGCAGGCUAGAGUUCGGUAGGGGAGAUCGGAAUUCCUGGUGUAGCGGUGAAAUGCGCAGAUAUCAGGAGGAACACCGGUGGCGAAGGCGGAUCUCUGGGCCGAUACUGACGCUGAGGAGCGAAAGCGUGGGGAGCGAACAGGAUUAGAUACCCUGGUAGUCC
rnacentral:rRNA from 1 species